UAAGGUGCUAUGACCACCCUAAUCUGGAAAAAGUGACCUCCAAAAAUAGGGUAGAUGCUAUUGUUUCAAGAGCUAACUAUUCACAAACACUGUAGAAGCUUAAUAAAUGUUUGAGUGAAUGUUGAAUCUUCAGUGCAGCUCCCUUGCUCUUUUGCUCCUGCCUACAGUAUGCAGGGUUGGUCCUGUAGCAGCUGUGUUAGGAGGCAUAUAGGAAGCAGGUUGGUAGUGGUUGCUUCUCCAUUUCUAGAGAAACUUCCUUCUGUGUGCUCCAGACAAAUUACCUAGCUAACCCUGAACUUGACACAGCUUCUGAUUGUGACUGUUAACUUUUCAUGAUCAACUAACAUCAUGGUUUGAUAAGCAUAUGUGGUUUUGCUGGUGAGGGGGCCAGAAAUAUUAGCUUCUACCUGACUGAGGAGUGGAAGAGCUGAACCAGCAUGUGGAGGGAAAAGAUGAUUCUGGAAAUAUCGGGAUCACAGGUGGCACAUCUGUUGUUCAUAACUCAGGCACUGCCUGAGCACCUGCUAUAUGCCCUACAGCAGUGGACACUGUGAGUGACACAAAGACUCCAGAUCAUUCCAAGCAAGAGGAAGGGCACUCACCCUCCCCAUGGACUCUCAACACAUUCUGCAUCACACCCUGUACUCUCCUCAGAGGCAGGGAUUUCGAGGACAGGCAAGUGCAAAGCCACCCUGAAGACCACGACCCUGGACGGACAUUCUCAUGUGCUCCUGAAGAUCACAUGAAGAACAUCUGCCUGGAAGACUCAGACCUAAGUAAUGUUGGAUAUGAGCUGCCCACGCAAGGAUUUUCAAUCAAAAAAAAAACUUGGCACCCCCUGCUCUAUCUUAAUACCCAGACACCUUCUCCAUGGUUACAAGAGAAGCAGCCUCAUUUUUAGUGAGGGGAGCAUUCUGUCCUCAGAAGUCUGUAUAAUAACCUUUUUGUAGUGUUUUUACUAAUCUUACCAGAAAUGCAACACUGCAAGGUAGGCAGAACAGGAUUUAUUCCCAUUUUACAGAUGAGGAAACAAACUCAGAGAGGACAAGUGGCCCACCUGGCUCCAGGUCUCAAGUCAGUAAGUGACUCAGUGGAGACUGAAACUGAAGACUUCUGACUUCAGUGACAACAUAUGGUCAUUUCCUCUCUGGGAUGUAUAAUGGGAGCUUCUCAAAACAAGUAUGCAAACGAAAAGCUUUUUAGUCUCAUUCUUCUGACAAUCAGAAAGUAAACAUUCACCAGGCCCCGUGUCCAUGGCAUUAUCAGGCGGAAGUCCCUUAACAAGAACAUGGAACCAUGGUGAAGAUGGGGAGCGGGAAGAUACAUAGAGAAGAUACCAAAAUUUCUGUCGACUGCCCUCGGUUUGAGUUCAACAUUUAUUGAGUGCUUACUGUGUCUCGGGGACUGUGCUUGCAACACUGAGGAAGCAAGCUAGGAGUCCGCCCCUGUGGAGCGCACAUUCCAGUGGGAAACUGAGAGGGAGAGGCCGGGAUGGCAUCUGGCCCACAUGAAUGUUUUGUUUGGUCCAUAGAGUGCUUAAUCUUUUUUUUUUUUUCUUUUUUAAAUAAGUUGUUGCCAACCUCCAGCUUCUCUAAAAUAGGUAACUUCUGCUGGAUUCCUUGAAUAAUAAGUAGGAAGCAUUUCCCACCCCACACCCAGGUCACGGCCCUCCAGCUCCCUUCUGUCCCCACCAUUUCCUACUGUCUCACACCCAGAUGACUGUGGCCCAAUUCAUGCAUUUAUGUUACCCACUGACAUCCAUAAGCAUUUAAGCUGAAACCCCUGAAGCAAAAAAAUAUCCAAACAAAAUAAUCUCAGAUAGCAUUAAUAUAAAAUAAAUCUGCCAAGCUGAUGUGAUGGAUGUGGUAUGACUGGUGGAAAGGGCUGCUUCAGACUGGGUGGUCAGGGAGGGCAUCUCUCUGAAGUGCAAUUGCAACUGAGAACUGCAUCGUGACGAACAUGACAAGUCUGCCAACAGAAGAGAAAAAUGCUUCCGAGCAGAGGGAACAGCACAGACACCAG